rnacentral:tRNA from 1 species
GGGGUGUAGCUCAGUGGUAGAGCACUUGCCUAGCAUGUAGGAGGCCCUGAGUUCAAUCCCCAGCACCACCA